UCCGUAGGUGAACCUGCGGAAGGAUCAUUACAGUA
rnacentral:rRNA from 4 species